UACGUAGGGGGCUAGCGUUGUCCGGAUUUAUUGGGCGUAAAGAGCGUGUAGGCGGCCAUGUAGGUCCGGUGUGAAAACUCGAGGCUUAACCUCGAGAUGUCAUCGGAAACCAUUUGGCUAGAGUCCGGAAGAGGAGAGUGGAAUUCCUGGUGUAGCAGUGAAAUGCGUAGAUAUGCGGAGGAACACCGAUGGCGAAGGCAUCCCUGGCCUGCACUGACGCUCAUGCACGAAAGCGUGGGGAGCAAACAGG
rnacentral:rRNA from 1 species